rnacentral:rRNA from 1 species
CGUGACGGCGCGAGCAGGUGCGAAAGCAGGUCAUAGUGAUCCGGUGGUUCUGAAUGGAAGGGCCAUCGCUCAACGGAUAAAAGGUACUCCGGGGAUAACAGGCUGAUACCGCCCAAGAGUUCAUAUCGACGGCGGUGUUUGGCACCUCGAUGUCGGCUCAUCACAUCCUGGGGCUGAAGUAGGUCCCAAGGGUAUGGCUGUUCGCCAUUUAAAGUGGUACGCGAGCUGGGUUUAGAACGUCGUGAGACAGUUCGGUCCCUAUCUGCCGUGGGCGCUGGAGAACUGAGGGGGGCUGCUCCUAGUACGAGAGGACCGGAGUGGACGCAUCACUGGUGUUCGGGUUGUCAUGCCAAUGGCACUGCCCGGUAGCUAAAUGCGGAAGAGAUAAGUGCUGAAAGCAUCUAAGCACGAAACUUGCCCCGAGAUGAGUUCUCCCUGACUCCUUGAGAGUCCUGAAGGAACGUUGAAGACGACGACGUUGAUAGGCCGGGUGUGUAAGCGCAGCGAUGCGUUGAGCUAACCGGUACUAAUGAACCGUGAGGCUUAACCUUACAACGCCGAAG